AGUAUAAUGGUUAGUACUCCACGUUGUGGCCGUGGCGACACAGGUUCGAUUCCUGU
rnacentral:tRNA from 1 species